rnacentral:lncRNA from 10 species
AGGAAAUUUCUGGUGGGCCUUCGCGGCUCCGCUGGGUUGGCAGCCGCUUGAGCCACUGCGAGGAAAGCAAAGUCUGGGCCAUGGAGAUGAGCCUAGUCCUGCUGUUCCUGAUCCGCACUGCCCUUUUUGCACCCCAGGGAGCUGCUGCUGACGGCGCCUCCCUCUGUCGCCAAAGUUGGAGUGCAGUGGCGCGGUCUCGGCUCACUGCAAGCUCCGCCUCCCGGAUUCAAGUGAUUCCCCUGCCUUAGCCUCCUAAGUAGCUGGGAUUACAAGUGCCCACCACCACACCCGGCUAAUAUUUUGUAUUUUAAUAGAGACUGGGUUUCACCAUGUUGACCGGGAUGGUCUCAAUCUCCUGACCUCGUGAUCUGCCUGCCUAAGCCUCCCGAAGUGCUGGGAUUACAGGCGUGAGCCACCACACCUAGCUG